CCUCUUCAGCAGGGAAGAAGCGAAAGUGACGGUACUGCAGAAGAAGCACCGGCUAACUACGUGCCAGCAGCCGCGGUAAUACGUAGGGUGCAAGCGUUGUCCGGGAAUUAUUGGGCGUAAAGAGCUCGUAGGCGGCCUGUCGCGUCGAUUGUGAAAGCCCAGGGCUUAACCGUGGGUCUGCAGUCGAUACGGGCAGGCUAGAGUUCGGUAGGGGAGAUCGGAAUUCCUGGUGUAGCGGUGAAAUGCGCAGAUAUCAGGAGGAACACCGGUGGCGAAGGCGGAUCUCUGGGCCGAUACUGACGCUGAGGAGCGAAAGCGUGGGGAGCGAACAGGAUUAGAUACCCUGGUAGUCCACGCCGUAAACGGUGGGCACUAGGUGUGGGCAACAUUCCACGUUGUCCGUGCCGCAGCUAACGCAUUAAGUGCCCCGCCUGGGGAGUACGGCCGCAAGGCUAAAACUCAAAGGAAUUGACGGGGGCCCGCACAAGCGGCGGAGCAUGUGGCUUAAUUCGACGCAACGCGAAGAACCUUACCAAGGCUUGACAUACACCGGAAACGGCCAGAGAUGGUCGCCCCCUUGUGGUCGGUGUACAGGUGGUGCAUGGCUGUCGUCAGCUCGUGUCGUGAGAUGUUGGGUUAAGUCCCGCAACGAGCGCAACCCUUAUCCUGUGUUGCCAGCGGAUCCCUUCGGGGGUGCCGGGGACUCACGGGAGACUGCCGGGGUCAACUCGGAGGAAGGUGGGGACGACGUCAAGUCAUCAUGCCCCUUAUGUCUUGGGCUGCACACGUGCUACAAUGGCCGGUACAAUGAGCUGCGAUACCGCGAGGUGGAGCGAAUCUCAAAAAGCCGGUCUCAGUUCGGAUUGGGGUCUGCAACUCGACCCCAUGAAGUCGGAGUCGCUAGUAAUCGCAGAUCAGCAUUGCUGCGGUGAAUACGUUCCCGGGCCUUGUACACACCGCCCGUCACGUCAUGAAAGUCGGUAACACCCGAAGCCGGUGG
rnacentral:rRNA from 1 species